GCCCUGAGGGUCUAGUGGUUGAGACUUGGCACUGCCAAUGCAGGGGGUGCAGGUUCAAUCCCUGCUCAGGGAA
rnacentral:tRNA from 1 species